ACCAAAACCCUCAUCUCCUCACGCAAAAAUCCCUCCAUCCCUUUCUUCUUCAAACGCAAAAUUCCUCCCUUCCCGUCUCCUCCCUGAACGCCGCCGGCCGCUGCUGCUAUCCUUAACUUCUUCGUCUUCCAACGUCACCGGCAGCUGCUACCGUUUCGAUUUGAACGCCUCAUCUCCUCUCCGUCAACGCUGCUGCUACCCUCUGUUGGACAGAUUAAUAACAUAUUGAAGAAAGAGUAUGACGGUUUCAAGUAGACCAAGAAGUCGGAAAAAGUGAAAGACUUGCAGAUCAAUGAUGGUUCUUAACCAAUUUGGGAUGAAUUAAUACCAACAACUGAUUAAACAACUAGUGAAGAACAUGCCUCUUCAAUCCAACUAUUGGUUGGUGUUGUUUCUCAUGAUGGAAUGAGAGUUUAUUUCACUACAAAGAAUGGAACUCUGCUUGAACUAUCUGAGCUUGAGCCUCCAAGAUUGGUAGAUCACGGCCAGCCCCGUGACGCCAAUGUUGCAGCAGUAGCAGAUGUUGCUUGUUUCAGAACAAAGAUUGUGUAUACAAUAAGAUGAUAGGAGGGAUGAUCCUUUGGGUCUCCUAUCAAAUUAAUGGACCUACGAGAGGCUUGGUUUAUGAAGUUACUGUUGAUUAUUCGUAACUAUGUUUCCUACGCAAUGGUUCGUCAUGAAGUGCUAAGAAUUCAAGAAAACAAAGUGGAGUCGUUGACUUGGGAGGAUUGGGAAGUUUUUAAAGGAUUACCAGAUUCCUCAGUUUUCUUCAUUACCAUGGAUGCAGUGCUGUGGUCCGCAAUCCUAAGGAUCCGUGAUCUCUCACAUUUCCACUCUCUCUCCAUUUCUUCUUGCUUUAUUUGUGUAGAUGCUGAACCUACGUACCAGUCCGUCAGAGCAACAACACACGAAACCGUGAUUGAUUGAUAUAAGAAGAAACAUGCCAAGCGAGCUAUGGUUUUCUUUGCUGUCUUUUUCAAGAUUUAAAUAUGUUUUCUUUGAAGUUGGGUUAUAAGCCCUCACUUGUACAAGUAAGCAAAAUAACUUUCUUCAUGGUUGAGCCAUUUGGAAAUUAUCAAGAUCAAAGCUUCUUGUUGGUGCUCAUUUUCAAAAUCAUUUUUACGACCCUUUUUAAGUUAUUUGUAGCAAUUUGAGGUCUUUAUUGUAGCUUCUUGGACUAUUUUCCCAUAUUUCUGUUCUUUUCUUCUGCUUUGUUCCUUUGUUAGGUUCUGUUUUCAUUGUUUCUUUUUUCUUCUUAUCUCUUCCUUCUUCAGAUAAAACAUGAAAAGUUGAUACAGUACGCACUUGCCUUUGUAGUUUUUGCUUGAUAAUUGAGAAACAACUUCAAUUGCUGUAGAAGUUAGGUUAUAAGAUUCAUUUCUCUUCUACUUUCAUUGGCGAAGCCUUUUGUUUCUUUUUCUAUCUUCUAGCUCUACACAUACUUUAGUAGUCCAAGUAGUAAUUUUUAAUUUAUGCUCCAGGUUGAACUCAACCAAGUGAUGAGUAUAUUUAUAAUUUAUUUUGUAGUUUCCAAGGUUGCGAGUCGUUUUUUUUAAGUAAGAUUAAUUGUUAUGACUGAAAAUUUGGUUUCGAGCUAGUUCUUCCUGCUCCACUGUUGCCAAAUGUGAGGAAUGUGAAGAGAAUCAAGUGGUUCCAAUGUCGCCACCACCUCCAGUUUCGAGCUAGUUCUUCCUGCUCUCCAUUGUUUCUUCUUCUUUGAAUGAUUUUAACUAGAUCUUAAGAAAUCUGAGGUUUUGUCCGAAUCUAUUGGAGCAGCGAAACCAUAUUUGUGGCAAUUCAUUGAUGUAUAGGCAUUUUUGUAGGUUUGGUAGGAAAAUUUCCGGUUUAAAUGUACUUAUUUAAAUAGCUAGCUUGUUCGUAACAAACCAUAUAUGUACCAACACUUAAAAGCGAUAUUAUAAAGUGUAUGUU